rnacentral:ncRNA from 2 species
ACCUUAUCCAGAGACGGUGGAGGGACUGGCCCGAUGAAACCCAGCAACCGACACAUAGCCGCUAACCUGGCAUGUGCACGGUGCUAAUUCCUGCAGAGACAUGUAAAAUUCUGGUAGAUAAGGG